rnacentral:rRNA from 1 species
GUGUCAGCAGCCGCGGUAAUACGGAGGAUGCGAGCGUUAUCCGGAUUUAUUGGGUUUAAAGGGUGCGUAGGCGGAGUAAUAAGUCAGUGGUGAAAACCUGCAGCUUAACUGUGGAACUGCCAUUGAUACUGUUAUUCUUGAGUAUGGUCAAGGUAGGCGGAAUGUGUAAUGUAGCGGUGAAAUGCUUAGAUAUUACACAGAACACCGAUUGCGAAGGCAGCUUACUGGGCCAUUACUGACGCUGAGGCACGAAAGCGUGGGGAGCGAACAGGAUUAGAUACCCUGGUAGUCCACGCCGUAAACGAUGAUCACUCGCUGUUGGCGAUACACAGUCAGCGGCUAAGCAAAAGCAUUAAGUGAUCCACCUGGGGAGUACGGCCGCAAGGCUGAAACUUAAAUGAAUUGACGGGG